rnacentral:ncRNA from 1 species
UAAUUAAAAUGGAACACUUUGAAGGCUCUGGAGAAUUACUAUGUAAAAAAGUACUGUGUGAAAAACUGUAGUAAAAAAUAAAUCUAUAGCUUACCUCAGGGAUCUAUGGUUGGCUCAACAUUUGGAAAUCAAUCCAUGUAAGUAGACUACAGCCACUCAGAUACCACAGCUUAAAGUCAUGGAAUAGGACCAUGGUUCCAUUUGUUAGUUUUUGGAACUGAGGCCAUGAUUAAAAGGGACAGUCAGGGGCAUUCGUAUUGCCCCUGGAGGUGAAAUUCUUGGACCAGUACAAGAUGGACCAGAGAAAACAUUUGCCAAGAUUGUUUUAAUUAAUCAC